CGGACGGGUGCGUAACGCGUAUGCAACCUGCCUGACACAGGGGGAUAAUCCGAAGAAAUUUGGUCUAAUACCCCAUAAUACCGAUAUAGGCAUCUAUGUUGGUUGAAAGCUUUGGUGGUGUCAGAUGGGCAUGCGUUGUAUUAGCUAGUUGGUGAGGUAACGGCUCACCAAGGCAACGAUACAUAGGGGGACUGAGAGGUUAACCCCCCACACUGGUACUGAGACACGGACCAGACUCCUACGGGAGGCAGCAUG
rnacentral:rRNA from 1 species